AAGAAGUGCUCCACACUUGUUGUUUUUAAAGGGUGAAAAUACAAUAUUAUUUUGAAAAAAGAGGGUUUUGAUUACAUUAGGAUCUGUGUUGUAAAAUUUUGGGAAAAAGGACCCUCUGAAAGUUUAAAGAGGGUGAACAUGAAAAGAUAAUUUUUGACAAAUAGGGGAUUUUGAUCCAAUUUAGAUUAGUAUUGAAAAGUUAACUGAAAUUUUAGAAGCCCCCAAUGAUAUCUAGAAGGUUGACAUUUAUUUGAUUCAUCAAAUUUUUGUUGUGUGAUUACUUAUGUGUAUUAUAAGCCAUUCAGUAUUAUAUAAAACAUGUUUUUAUUUCAUUGUUUUUUUACCUUCAUAUAUAUGUUUAUAUUUUUUAUGCUCAAAUUUAUUUACUGUGUUUUUUAAAUCACUUUUCUGAUUUUGUUGUAGUAUUUCAAAUCAGUAUUAGAAUGCACUCACACACAUGGCUAUAGGAAAUAUAGUUCGAUUCUAAAUCCUCUCAACAGGAAGUAGAAGGAAGUAUCUUAAUAUAACUAAAUUUAUUUAUUUUCAGAAAAACAAGACAGCUGCAUAGAAAAUUUAGUUUUCUGAAGACUUGGAGAAGCUUUUAACCAGUAGAUAGCUUGUUUGAUAUGCAUUUUCAAGUGCUUUGUUAAUAUAUUAUAAG
rnacentral:lncRNA from 1 species